GAUGAACGCUAGCGGCAGGCUUAAUACAUGCAAGUCGUGGGGCAGCGCAGGUAGCAAUACUGGGCGGCGACCGGCAAACGGGUGCGGAACACGUACACAACCUUCCGAGAAGUGGGAAUAGCCCAGAGAAAUUUGGAUUAAUACCCCGUAACAUAACGAUGUGGCAUCACAUUGUUAUUAUAGCUUCGGCGCUUCUUGAUGGGUGUGCGGCUGAUUAGAUAGUUGGCGGGUAACGCCCACCAAGUCUACGAUCAGUAGCUGAUGUGAGAGCAUGAUCAGCCACACGGGCACUGAGACACGGGCCCGACUCCUACGGGAGGCAGCAGUAAGGAAUAUUGGUCAAUGGACGCAAGUCUGAACCAGCCAUGCCGCGUGAAGGAUUAAAGGUCCUCUGGAUUGUAAACUUCUUUUAUCUUGGGACGAAAAAAGGCGAUUCUUCGUCACUUGACGGUACCAGAUGAAUAAGCACCGGCUAACUCCGUG
rnacentral:rRNA from 1 species